GGAUGUUGCUUAUAGGAC
rnacentral:siRNA from 1 species